GUCUAUGGCCAUACCUCCCUGAAGGUGCCCAAUCUUUUCUGAUCUUGGAAGCUGAGCAGAGUCAGGCCUGGUUAGUACUUGGAUGGGAGAAAAAUAGAAAUUAAAAUUA
rnacentral:rRNA from 1 species